rnacentral:rRNA from 1 species
UACGAGGGGGGCGAGCGUUGUUCGGAAUUAUUGGGCGUAAAGGGUGCGUAGGCGGUUCCGCAAGUCCUGUGUGAAAUCUUCGGGCUCAACUCGAAGUCUGCACGGGAAACUGCGGGGCUUGAGUGUGGUAGGGGAGACUGGAAUUCCUGGUGUAGCGGUGGAAUGCGCAGAUAUCAGGAGGAACACCGAUGGCGAAGGCAGGUCUCUGGGCCAUUACUGACACUGAGAAGCGAAAGCAUGGGGAGCGAACAGG